UACGUAGGGCGCAAGCGUUAUCCGGAAUUAUUGGGCGUAAAGAGCUCGUAGGCGGUCUGUCGCGUCUGCUGUGAAAACUCAGGGCUUAACCCUGAGCUUGCAGUGGGUACGGGCAGACUAGAGUGCGGUAGGGGAGACUGGAAUUCCUGGUGUAGCGGUGAAAUGCGCAGAUAUCAGGAGGAACACCGGUGGCGAAGGCGGGUCUCUGGGCCGUAACUGAC
rnacentral:rRNA from 1 species